CGAAUGCUGACAUAAGUAACGAUAAAGCGGGUGAAAAGCCCGCUCGCCGGAAGACCAAGGGUUCCUGUCCAACGUUAAUCGGGGCAGGGUGAGUCGACCCCUAAGGCGAGGCCGAAAGGCGUAGUCGAUGGGAAACAGGUUAAUAUUCCUGUACUUGGUGUUACUGCGAAGGGGGGACGGAGAAGGCUAUGUUGGCCGGGCGACGGUUGUCCCGGUUUAAGCGUGUAGGCUGGUUUUCCAGGCAAAUCCGGAAAAUCAAGGCUGAGGCGUGAUGACGAGGCACUACGGUGCUGAAGCAACAAAUGCCCUGCUUCCAGGAAAAUCCUCUAAGCAUCAGGUAACAUCAAAUCGUACCCCAAACCGACACAGGUGGUCAGGUAGAGAAUACCAAGGCGCUUGAGAGAACUCGGGUGAAGGAACUAGGCAAAAUGGUGCCGUAACUUCGGGAGAAGGCACGCUGAUAUGUAGGUGAAGCGACUUGCUCGUGGAGCUGAAAUCAGUCGAAGAUACCAGCUGGCUGCAACUGUUUAUUAAAAACACAGCACUGUGCAAACACGAAAGUGGACGUAUACGGUGUGACGCCUGCCCGGUGC
rnacentral:rRNA from 1 species